GGCCGGAUAGUCUAGUGGUUAAGACGUCCCUAAUGGAGUUGGGAAGUCCUAGGUCCUAGUCCUGCCC